AACGAACGCUGGCGGCAGGUCUUAGGCAUGCAAGUCGAACGGGUGUAGCAAUACAUCAGUGGCGCACGAGUGAGUAACGCGUGGGAAUUUGCCCAUCGGUGGGGAAUAACGUUUGGAAACGAACGCUAAUACCGCAUACGUCGAGAAAUCGAGAAAGAUUUAUCGCCGAUGGAUAAGCCCGCGUUGGAUUAGCUUGUUGGUAGGGUAAUGGCCUACCAAGGCGAUGAUCCAUAGCUGGUCUGAGAGGACGAUCAGCCACGCUGGGACUGAGACACGGCCCAGACUCCUACGGGAGGCAGCAGCUAAGAAUAUUGGACAAUGGAGGAAACUCUGAUCCAGCCAUGCCGCGUGAGUAAAGAAGGCCUUCGGGUUGUAAAGCUUUUUUACCCGGGAAGAUAAUGACUGUACCGGGAGAAUAAGCCCCGGCUAACUCCGUGCCAGCCGCCGCAGUAA
rnacentral:rRNA from 1 species